ACGCUCGACACCUACUGGAGGCAGCAGUGGGGAAUAUUGCACAAUGGGGGAAACCCUGAUGCAGCGACGCCGCGUGAGCGAAGAAGUAUUUCGGUAUGUAAAGCUCUAUCAGCAGGGAAGAAACUGACGGUACCUGACUAAGAAGCACCGGCUAAAUACGUGCCAGCAGCCGCGGUAAUCUGAGGCGGGCUGGCAAGGC
rnacentral:rRNA from 1 species